UAAUUCCGUGCCAGCAGCCGCGGUAAUACGGGAGGUGCAAGCGUUAUCCGGUUUUAUUGGGUUUAAAGGGUGCGUAGGCGGCUUAUUAAGUCAGUUGUGAAAUCCUAGUGCUUAACGCUAGAACUGCGAUUGAUACUAUUAGGCUUGAGUUAAGAAGAGGUAGGCAGAAUUUAUGGUGUAGUAGUGAAAUGCUUAGAUAUCAUAAGGAAUACCAAUAGCGUAGGCAGCUUACUGGUCUUUAACUGACGCUGAGGCACGAAAGCGUGGGGAGCAAACAGGAUUAGAUACCCUGGUAGUCCACGCCGUAAACGAUGAUCACUCGAUAUACAUGAUGCGUCAUGUGUGUCUAAG
rnacentral:rRNA from 1 species